AAUCUUUUGUCAUUGUUAUCUUUCUUGAAAACACAACUAUGUUGUUUCCUUUACUCAACAUGUCUAAUCAUUUUAUUACCUAAAAUCUCAAACAACUCUCUGAUGUGUCUAAUCAAACCACAGAGCUUGGUUUUACAAUCCAAGCCUUCUCCCUACUCUUUCUCUUUCAUUUCUUCACACUAUUCCUUCUUAUUUCUUUAUCUCUCUCUUUCUUCUUUCAACUUCUUCUUUGAACCCAAAUCUUACUCUCAUCUCUUUACCAAACAAAAAUCAAAAGCAUGGUUCAAAUUGAAAUCAAUAAGGAGCAAAGGGGUACCAAUCGAAAUAGGGGAGACAACAAAGACUACGACAUUUCCAGCGGUGUUCAGUUUCACUAUGGUAGAUCUGUGAUGGAGGCAACGCUUUUUCGACAACGAUUUGGGUGAUGGUCGGAUUCAAAAUGAUAUCUCAUUUUGAGAACAACAACUAUGGUGUUUCCGGCGGUGUACAGUUUCACAAUGGUAUAUCUUCUUCCUUCUCUACCUCUUUCCCUAUCUCUUUUGUUAUUUCGGUAUCACACCGAAACAAGAUGGUGUUCGAAUUGGUUUACGUUUGUCGUUGUUUUCAAUGUCUUUACUUCAUUCCUGAUUUAUGUGAUGUUCCAGACAAGUUGUAACUUAUCUCUUAUUUGUGUUUUUGGAGGAUUCAUGAGAUUAAGUCUGGAUCGAGUUUUAUCGCUAUGGUGAAGCUAACAAGACACCACAGAAGGCUUGAGCUUAGAAGUUAUUGAAUCCAAAAUCUUGAAGUGACCGCAGAAACUACCUUUUUAUAUUUUUUUUCCAUGAAUGCAGUUAGACAAUGGUGAUAUCAUAUGCUUUCAUAAAGCUUCUGCAAUGGGUAACGGGAGGAAUUAAAUAUACUGUUAAAGCUUCAUUGGUUACAGGAUUGGUCAAAACUUUCUCGAUGUUUGCAUAGGUUCAAGUGAUGAAAUUGUUUUUGUAUGAGAGGUUUUCAGAUUAGUCAUAAUUUGGCUUGGGGAUCAAAGACAUAAGACCAGCAGAGAAAAUGAUCUCUUUAUCUGAUGUUGUGAAGGAGCAUUGGACAACCUAUGGUAGAAAUUUAAAUGCUUAGGCUAUUGUUGGCCUGGGUUGGAAGUUAAAAGAUAUUCUGAUACUGAAAACUGUUUUUACAACACUCAUUUAUAGCUUAUUUUGAAAAUGGUGUUCUAGAGGUUUGCCUUGAAGCAACUUGUGGUGGGCAGCUUGAAAGUGAGAUGGAAGAUAAAUAAAACCAUGAUACAUUAUGUAAGUAUAACUUAUUAAAAAUUAAUUCAUUUUUAGUCUUUUGGUACUAUAAGAAUUGAAUGUUAU